AGUGAACGCUGGCGGUAGGCCUAACACAUGCAAGUCGAACGGCAGCACAGUAAGAGCUUGCUCUUACGGGUGGCGAGUGGCGGACGGGUGAGGAAUACAUCGGACUCUACUUUUUCGUGGGGGAUAACGUAGGGAAACUUACGCUAAUACCGCAUACGACCUACGGGUGAAAGCAGGGGAUCUUCGGACCUUGCGCGAUUGAAUGAGCCGAUGUCGGAUUAGCUAGUUGGCGGGGUAAAGGCCCACCAAGGCGACGAUCCGUAGCUGGACUGAGAGGAUGAUCAGCCACACUGGAACUGAGACACGGUCCAGACUCCUACGGGAGGCAGCAGUGGGGAAUAUUGGACAAUGGGCGCAAGCCUGAUCCAGCCAUACCGCGUGGGUGAAGAAGGCCUUCGGGUUGUAAAGCCCUUUUGUUGGGAAAGAAAAGCAGCAGGUUAAUACCCCGCUGUUCUGACGGUACCCAAAGAAUAAGCACCGGCUAACUUCGUG
rnacentral:rRNA from 1 species